GCUCCCGGGGCCGGGCCCCCAGCCCGGGGUCUUCCAGGUUUCCCGGUUGCCCACCUGGGGAAGGUGUGUCAGCAAUAUUGACCCCUUCCCAUGCACUGAAAUAGGAUGAAUGGAUCCUGGUUUAGCACUUUUCACAGGGAAAUUCAAUGGUCAUGAUGUUCACAUGCAUCCUGGAAAUAAAUGAAGAAAGGGUUCUUGCCGCGGACCAGCACAACAGUGAACGAUGAGGCUGUCUUAGGAUUGAGAGACUGCGCAGGGUGGUCAGGGAUUCGGCUGAAGAAAUGACAAACAGACACACUUCAAGAGAGAGUGCUGCAUCAUGACUGCUUCUGGUCAGUUCUACAGAGCUAUGCUUUCUGCAAGACCCCAACCAGAAAAAUAAAAUUUAAAUGUACAGUAGAAGACAGAAAGUGAUAGGGUCACCAAUUAUUUUUCAGUGAAUUCUCAUUUAAUCCCCUAAACAUUCAUAUGAAAUCAUAUUACAGAGGCCCUGUCAAAAGCAAGAACAAGAGAACUACCUGAACAAAAUGCAUAUUAAAAGUAUCCACCAAAAAAUCAGGGCUAUUAGUUCUAUUAUCCUUAUGUAACAGGGUGGUCCCCAGGAAAGGGGGAGGUUCCCUGCCCCACCCAAGGGAGGGUGGAGCUGAGCAGGAAGAGGAGAAGCUGAAGAAGAGACUAAGGAAGGAAGGAAGCAGGAUGGAGCCAGGAGACCUGGAGGAGGCGCAUGGAGCCUAGAGACACGUAAAGAAACCGCGCUUGUCUUUUGGUCGUGGACUGGGUGACACAGAUGUGGGUGAGACCCGUGGGGAGGUGACCAUGGCAGCUUUUAUCUUGAUGUUGAUUUUGCUCUUUUCCUUCCGGGCUUGUCCGGUUGUUUGUGACCCUUUGCUGUGGGUCCCCACUGGAAGAUGCUUUAGACUUUUAGCAGGCUUUGGGGCCUUGUUCUGGGCCAAUCCCAUUUGGAUGGACUUUUACCCACGAGGGGAUGGGUAACUUUGGGUGCUUCAUUUAGAAACUAGACUCUUUGCCUUACCUGUAUUGUUUCCUAGUUUUAUUAAAGUUCCUUCCCAUUAAAGUCUCCUAUGUUUUGUGUUGAUGCGGCGGAUGGCAGAACCCAUGUAGA